AAUACUGUAAACUGUACAGAAACCCAUAGGUUUGGUAGAGGAAUACUGUAAACUGUACAGAUACCCAUAGGUUUAGUAGAGGAAUACUGUAAACUGUACAGAAACCCAUAGGUUUGGUGGAGGAAUACUGUAAACUGUACAGAUACCCAUAGGUUUGGUGGAGGAAUACUGUAAACUGUACAGAUACCCAUAGGUUUAGUAGAGGAAUACUGUAAACUGUACAGAUACCCAUAGGUUUGGUAGAGGAAUACUGUAAACAGUACAGAUACCCAUAGGUUUGGUAGAGGAAUACUGUAAACUGUACAGAUACCCAUAGGUUUGGUAGAGGAAUACUGUAAACUGUACAGAUACCCAUAGGUUUGGUAGAGGAAUACUGUAAACUGUACAGAUACCCAUAGGUUUGGUAGAGGAAUACUGUAAACUGUAUAGAAACCCAUAGGUUUGGUAGAGGAAUACUGUAAACUGUACAGAAACCCAUAGGUUUGGUAGAGGAAUACUGUAAACUGUACAGAUACCCAUAGGUUUGGUAGAGGAAUACUGUAAACUGUACAGAAACCCAUAGGUUUGGUAGAGGAAUACUGUAAACUGUACAGAAACCCAUAGGUUUGGUAGAGGAAUACUGUAAACUGUACAGAUACCCAUAGGUUUGGUAGAGGAAUACUGUAAACUGUACAGAAACCCAUAGGUUUGGUAGAGGAAUACUGUAAACUGUACAGAUACCCAUAGGUUUGGUAGAGGAAUACUGUAAACUGUACAGAUACCCAUAGGUUUGGUAGAGGAAUACUGUAAACUGUACAGAUACCCAUAGGUUUGGUAGAGGAGAGGAAUACUAUAAACUGUACAGAUACCCAUAGGUUUGGUAGAGGAAUACUGUAAACUGUACAGAUACCCAUAGGUUUAGUAGAGGAAUACUGUAAACUGUAUAGAUACCCAUAGGUUUGGUAGAGGAAUACUGUAAACUGUACAGAUACCCAUAGGUUUGGUAGAGGAAUACUGUAAACUGUACAGAUACCCAUAGGUUUAGUAGAGGAAUACUGUAAACUGUACAGAUACCCAUAGGUUUGGUAGAGGAAUACUGUAAACAGUACAGAUACCCAUAGGUUUAGUAGAGGAAUACUGUAAACAGUACAGAUAGCCAUAGGUUUAGUAGAGGAAUACUGUAAACAGUACAGAUACCCAUAGUUUUAGUAGAGGAAUACUGUAAACAGUACAGAUACCCAUAGGUUUGGUAGAGGAAUACUGUAAACAGUACAGAUACCCAUAGGUUUAGUAGAGGAAUACUGUAAACUGUAUAGAUACCCAUAGGUUUUGUAGAGGAAUACUGUAAACAGUACAGAUACCCAUAGGUUUGGUAGAGGAAUACUGUAAACAGUACAGAUACCCAUAGGUUUAGUAGAGGAAUACUGUAAACAGUACAGAUAGCCAUAGGUUUAGUAGAGGAAUACUGUAAACAGUACAGAUAGCCAUAGGUUUAGUAGAGGAAUACUGUAAACAGUACAGAUACCCAUAGGUUUAGUAGAGGAAUACUGUAAACUGUACAGAUAGCCACUCAUUUUGUCAUAGCUAUAAAUACAAUCCAUGACUCGGAAGAGUCUUUAAUAUGUUCUGCUCUACUCAUUACUUCUCUUUUCAACCUUCUGUUACCCCUAUUUGUCCUCCUCCUCCUCCUCCCCUCCUCCUCUUCCUCUCUCCACUCCAUAUCGUUCUCUAAAAUCUCUGUCAUAUGCAUUCUCUUCCUCCUCCUCCUCCUCUUCCUCUCUCCACUUCAUAUCGUUCUCUAAAAUCUCUGUCAUAUGCAUUCUGUUCCUCCUCCUCCUCCUCCUCCUCUCUCCACUCCAUAUCGUUCUCUAAAAUAUCUGUCAUAUGCAUUCUCUUCCUCCUCCUCCUCCUCUUCCUCUCUCCACUCCAUAUCGUUCUCUAAAAUCUCUGUCAUAUGCAUUCUGUUCCUCCUCCUCCUCCUCCUCUUCCUCUCUCCACUCCAUAUCGUUCUCUGAAAUCUCUGUCAUAUGCAUUCUCUUCCUCCUCCUCCUCCUCUUCCUCUCUCCACUCCAUAUCGUUCUCUAAAAUCUCUGUCAUAUGC